rnacentral:rRNA from 1 species
GACGAACGCUGGCGGCGUGCUUAACACAUGCAAGUCGAACGGAAAGGCCCUGCUUUUGUGGGGUUCUCGAGUGGCGAACGGGUGAGUAACACGUGUGUAACCUGCCCUUGUCUUUGGGAUAACUUCAGGAAACUGGGGCUAAUACCGGAUAUGAGCUCCUGCUCCAUGGUGGGGGUUGGAAAGUUUCGGCUGUUGGGGAUGGACUCGCGGCUUAUGAGCUUGUUGGUGGGGUAGUUGCUUACCAAGGCUUUGACGGGUAGCCGGCCUGGGAGGGUGGCCGGCGACAAUGGGACUGAGAGACGGACCAGACUCGUACGGGAGGCAACAGGGGGGAGUAUUGCACAGUGGGCGGAAGCGUGAGGCAGAAACGCCGCGUGCGGGAUGACGGCCUUUGGGUUGUAAACCGCUGUCGCCUGUGACGAAGCGUGAGUGACGGUAAUGGGUAAAGAAGCACCGGCUAACUACGUG